CCUAAAGAAAUAGAGGCAAGUGAAAAUAAUAAAAAAAAAUUAAAGGCGACAAAAUGACAAAAGAGCGGAUAAUGAAGUAAUUGUGUUAUAUUAUUUGUUUCUCUUCUCUUUCUUUCCGCUGAUUGACAACACACACAAACAACCAUAGGCCUCUUAUUUCUUUGUCCCACCAAUGAAGCACACAGUCUUAUCUUCACUGCCUCUCUUUUGCCGAUCUUCUCCUCAUCUUUCCCCAGGUACGUGAGAUUAUCUUGUUUUGAAGAAGAAACAACUUAUAUAUUUGAGUUCUUUAGAAUUAGAUAUUUGUUUCCCUAUGUAAUUCUAAUUAAGUAGAAUUUAUAUUGUAAUAUGAUUUUGGAAGACUAAACUACACUAAAUAUUAAAUUUUUGCUCAAGAAAUUAAUAAAAAUUUAUUUAAAUUAUUUUA